UAGAAGUGAUUAAAAUAUUUUAUCAUCACACAGGCCUACUCAUAUUCUACUCGGUACACUAAUUCCGCUAAUUGAUCGAAAUAGCGAAAUAACUCGCUAUAACUGAACCUGACUCGAUAAUCGCAAGAACUGCGAAGUCAACGAGAGUUUCGUGACUUACACAAUUUAUCGAACACCUUAAUGAGCAUCCAUUACUGCGAUUCACACGUAUAAUCAUAGACACAAUUAUAACACAUUAAGAAAUCCACAGUUACCUCGGUUAUGCCUUGGUGUGGAGGUAAACAAGACAUCGUGGCACACGGAAUAAGCUCAGGGCGACAUCAGAAACACUGGACUCUUGUUGCAAAGUCGAGGUGAUAUUUGAGACGAAGUCGAUGUUGGCGGUGUUUACAGAGAUGUGUGCAAAGGGGAGGUGAGCUCACGGCGUUGAGAAUAGACAGCUGAGCAGAGCUUAACGAUCGACGACACGUCAUUUCCAUGAACAUGAGGGUGAGGCGAACGGCUUCGGUAACGCACACAAACUAGGUGCGAUGAAUAGGAAGGAGCGCUACAUCAGCUUGAAAAGAGAGGCAAGCUGAGAUUAGGGGACAGCGGCAGACUUCACCGGCGAUGCUUUAUAGGUAUAGUUCGGCACUCGUAACAGGGCUUUGGCAGACUCGACGAAUGCGAACUAGACGACGGCAGCGCGCGACACAGAGAGCUGGGGCGAGCAGAAAUCCGGGCGCCAUGGGAUGAACUUGACCAAAGCGCGAGGAUGUGCUGCCAUGGGAGCUGGAAGCGCGCGGAGCUGGGUCCGAGCACCAGGGAGCUGCUUGCGGCAGAAAGAAACAGAGGGACGGCGCUAGGGAGGAGAGAAGAACGCAGUGCUGGGAGCUCGACCAGGGAAAAGCAGAGCUGGACGCCAGGGAGACGCGGCCAUGGAUGAGCAGAGCAGGGGCUAGGAUGCCAUGGGAGGGGAAGGAAGGAGCUUCGAGCAGAGGCCAGUGCUAGGGGCGCGACGUCCAGGCACCUGAGCGCGCGGCUGGAGCAGAGGACGCCGGCUAUGGAAAGCAGAGCGCGAGCAGGAACGGCGCGCUGGGAGGGAUCGAGGGGAAACCGCCAUGGAAAGGAGGCCGAGCGAGCUGGGGCAAGCCAGGCGCGCGCGCGAGAAGCAAGGCGCCGCGACACGGGAACAGGGCGUGUGGCGCGUCUUCCAUCGCCGAACAGCGCGGCCGAGCAGAGGCAAGCUGGAGCGGGAGUGCGCCAUGGCCUAGAGCUGAGGACGCGGCGCAAAACACAGACGCGCGCGCAGAGGAAGUCGGAGCAGAGGGGAUUGCCGAGAAGGAAGAUGGAGAGCGGCUGGGCGGCUGGGGAUGCCCACACGCAAAGAAAUAUCCACGAGAGAACGGCGGUUUGGGAUAAUAUCAACAGAUGAGCGGCGCUUGGAGAUAGGAACGACUGAGCGUGGACUGAUAUCCACGUACGGUAAAGAAGAAAGUAUCAAUGGCCUUCGGUGGCUGAUAGGAGAUAUUUUCUAUUUCUUUCUUUCUUUUUCUUCUACAAAAGAAUAUAUAUAUAUGUUUAGUGACUCGGAUCUGAGCAAGAUGCAAAUAGAUAGGAUCAAAAUGCUGUCCGAAUACGUUACUAUUCUCUCGGAUUCUGGAAUAAGAAAUUGAUUCGGCUAAUCGUUGUUUUGGUUUCAUUUAAUUCGGGUUCAUUUUAUUUAAACAACGUGCCCUUAUUAGUGUCUACCGAAUUCGUAGAGACCGCGCAUAAGAGCGAAAUAUUUAGGGACGUUUCUAAUUUGCCUUAAUCGAUUAAUUUUAAUUUUGCAUUCGUUUGAGUUAAAUUUAGAUGAAUUUUGCCCGCCAUCCGAACAUUCGACUAAUAACUCUACGCACGAUUUCUCGGGUAGCGAGUGUGGUCCAGUUUAUAAACGUCGAGGGCGUACUAUUUCGUACUCGUAUAAUCAAUUAUUAUUUUUUUAGCAGACACAAGACUCGACAUAUCGCGAAAUAACGCGCGAUAUCGAUGCAACAUCGAGAUUGCGAUCCAAAUUAUUUUGCACCGAGUAUUUUAGUCAUUAAGUUAUAAAUAAUUUAUUUGGGACACGGAUCGCAACGGUGGAUCGAGCUUCCAAAUUUCGGAUUCGCGCGAGCGAUGAAUUUUAAAUAAUCACCGGACGCACCGAUUUUCGUAGCAACGAUGUUCCGAACAUCACGGAAUUUUAGGAAGAGCUCGGACAAAUAAAAACAAAAACGACGUCGCACUCGCGAUCGACGAAAGAGACGCGAUAUUAAAAUCGCGAUAGGCGAAGAUAAUUAAAAUUUAGCGUCUGUUCACCCACUGAUAUUACGUGCUUAAAUCCGAACUCAUUGCCGAGCGGAAUAUAAACACCUGGGGUGUUACAGCCUUCCCCCCUUAAAAGAAUCUCGUCCCGAGAUUCGGACCGAAAGAGUUCUAAGGGUAGAGAAGCAUGUAACCCAUAUCCAUAUCAGCGAUAACCCUAAGACAGUCCAAGUAAAGAUGAGUGCCUCAGGAUAUAGUUUCUCUAGUGGGCAUAUCAUAUAUCGCCUUAAGCUAAUUUAGAGAUGUCCCACAGUAGAGACGAUGUCUGCCAGAAGAACAUAUAGGUUCCAUAUGUGCAGCUUGCUUUUUCUAAUAACACUGUAAUAUCUGAGUCUGUUGGGCGAGCGGCAAAUACGCGAUUUUACCCACACAGAAUCAGAUGCAUCAUCUUAGGUAAAACACACAAAAAGGAGGUUUACCAACAAGUGAUCACAGUGAGCUCGUAGCACACGAGACGAGAGUGGAUGUUGAAUACUGUCGUGGUUAACAUGUGGCUAACCCGAGAAUUCAAGUCCUCGAAAGAAGGUAUAGAUUCAAGAGAAUCACCAGUAGAGGGACCCAGAGAGGCUGACUUUGCAACCAGUCCAUUUUAGUAAGCACUAACCAUGGCUCGACUUGAUCACACAUGCUAGAAAAGCACACGUGAGGUGAUCGAGACACGACUAGAGCGAUGACUAGGUGGUUUCUGGUCGACUUAAUCUUGAGUCUUGAAAGUACUUAACUCGAUAAAUCGAUCUCUAAACUCAACCUUCGUUCAUUGGGCAGUUACAAGUUAGUCAAAACCAACUUGUUGAACUACUUUUGACAUUGAGCAACUCCUCUCAGUACCAUCGGUAAGUUAAGGGUUGAGAGUUCACUCAUACUAACAGUUGAUCAUGCACUUGGGUAGGAAUCAAUUUGGUUAGAUUGUUCAUCCGUUGCUUCAUGCGAGAUGAACAGAUUUGGUUCGGGAAUACAUAGAUUAAAUAGGAGAGCGAAUGAACAAACUCCUGCAUCUCAGUAGCAGGGGAAAUCCAGUCUCCAUUUUGAGAGCUAAUCAGUUGUUUUCCAGUACUAAAAAGCUCCAAGGCUUCACCUUUACAACAAAAGAUGCAAAGGGAACUUGUAUGAGUAGCCACUACCAAGAUCAAAAGAAAAGAGACCACACAUGAAAGUGGUAUGCCCUUUUGAUCCAACAAAGAUGAUAGAUGUUGCUUGGUCACUUCGACAAACAACACCGAAAUCCUUUCAAGGAAGAGAUCUACGGAAGAUAAUAUAUUAGUGUAGUUCCACAAUGGAUCAUGACUAGAGACCUUGAUACCAGCAUCCGACGAGUAGCACAGUCCUGUGUGCGCAUUCACAGGAGGCUCUCAGUUUCGCCGCGGCACCAUAAGUCAUUAACCAUGACACCAAUGGAUUAGGCAAGGGUGACAAUAUACAAAGAGAUACUCCACAUGUAAGAAUGAUUACAAGUAGAGAUCCAAAUAGAUCAUGGCCCGAUGAACUGAACAAGGCAUGGCCAUAACCUAAACUUGAUGAAAGGAGUACGAUGGGAGACUGUUAAUUCAGCCCCAAGCAUAUUUCUAUGCCCAUCGCAGAGAUUACAAGGUCAAGGAUUAGUAUCCGAUUAGAUACAGAGGAAAACAAUCACAAGAUGAAGUUGGUAUGCCUUCAAUAGAUAUGAAGAAAUCAACGACACCAAAUUAAGGAAAAUGAUCAGGCAUAACUUUCCCAGGUUGGGUUGAUAAAGCAACAAUGCAAUCCGCAGGGAGAGGCCAAUUACAAUAGAGACCUCAACCUGCAUCAACUGAACAAGGGAGUGGUUCUAGAAGGAGACAUGGUUUGAGAUCCUUGGUUUAAGCUUGGGUACAUUUUAUGUCCAACAAAGAAAUUAUCUAAACAUUUAUUUUUAGGUGUUUGGUCAUGGAGUGAUAAUGGAAAAUUCAAAUUUGGGUCAUGGUGCACUAAAUAAGAACAUGGCCUAAUUUUGGGUUCAGGCAAACAAGUCACUAACCUUCUAUCGACACAUCAAGCACAAGAACAACAACAUAUAAGACCUUAACAGGUUACCUAAGAACGGAGGACAGCUAUUUUCUCGAAGUUCGUAAUACAAUAUUACACCACAUUAUUUACAAUCAAUGGUUACUGGAAUAAGGAUGAGAGAAGCAUUUUGGGUGUAUAGGUGACAAACAUGAUGCAACAAUCAGGAUGCAUGCUCGUCCUAGACGUCCUCACGAGUUUGCCAACAUAAUGUGGCUAUAGCGUUCUAUCUCGGUGGCAUACUAACGACUCUCACGGUAUUUUGCUAGUCGUCAGCUACACAUACGUUUUCGAGGUUAGUGUACCUGCAGAAAAUUUCAUCACAGCCCAUUUUCCCAUGAUGCAAUUCACACAUGACAGUUUAUCACAGUUUAUACUCCAUAUAUCGCUAUAUGGAGGCCAGCUCAUCAUUAAGCGCCGAGCCAUGCAUAGGCGCCGUUGCCACACUUUAACCAUAGGGCAACUCAUUAUGGUAACUCACCUUCUUACCUGAGCGUAGGUGCGUCGUUACAAGUACAUUACACUUCUCAGUAUUCCCAUGUUUGUAUACCCAUACACAUCCAUGGGGUACUGAAUUCCCGAAAAAGUAAAUACGCCACAUCGCAGCCUUCAUAUAUACAUAUGUGGAACAUGUAUAUAAUCAAUCACUACAAUUAAGCACUUCCCUAGACCGACGGUUGUUCGGUCAUGCUCUCACAUCUCACCUUACCUUGAGCGUCGAUCCAUUCAAAACUGAAUGGCCUUAAAAAUAACAAUACACAUGUAUGCAAUACCCACCCGGUUGUGGGUUAGUGGUUUUCAAAUAAGCCACCUGAUAGUCCUUAGUUUAGGGCUUAAUAGAGGAUGUCGCUAGCAAUAUAGUUUUUCAAAGCGGUUUUUCAAAACCAAACAAUGUGUUUAGUUGAAAAUAGGUUUUUCAAAAUCAAAACUUUCGUUUUGAAAAUACGUAUGUGACUGUAGAUACUUAAUCCUGCUCCGAUACCAGCUGUGGCAGAACCUCCCAAGGUAUCGGGCCCACAUGCACCUGUCCUUGUCUCAAAGAACUCAGACGGCCAUGCAUGUGCACCAGAUAACUUAACAGGAUCCGUCCGAUUGCCCCACGGACACCGGAUAAACCACUUACAACCAGAACCGCAGGAUUAAGUAAUACAAAUCACACACACCAAUAUUUUGCAGCGGAAAUCUUAUUACCAAAUUUUACAAGUUACAAAAAUUUUACUUCGUACAUGAUCAGAGUGAUUACUACAUUGAUUCAAAGAAAGAAACUUUGAACGGUUAUAAAUUAUUUAUAGUUUUGAAAUAUAUGCUAGCUCAAGUGACCAUCCUCAAUAAGAAGAUAAAGGCGGGGUAUACUUAUAUAGGAAGGCCGAGCCCACCGGCACUUAACACCAUCAACAGCAGCACAAAAACUAUAACCUGAAAAACAACAGGGAAUAAAACCCUGAGUAUGGAAUUACUCAGCAAGACUUACCCGACUAAGGAAAAGACUCUCAAGGAUAUGCUGGAUUUGGGAAUCAAGGAGAGGCUUUAGCAAGAAUCAACUUAGAUACUUUUGCAGAAAUAGCUUACUAAAGUGAGUCCUUACUUUCAAUAUUUUAACGCCAGAUUAAAUAUUUAAUAGACUCUGUUUGCAUCUAGUCUAAUUUCAUCAUCUCAUCAAUACAACAUCAUUUUUAUCCAUAGUGUUCACAUCUUGACUUAGGUUGUAGGUCGGAGCUCAAGUCUCCACUCUCCGGGGAUAUAACGGCGAUCCGAAUCGAUUUACUCAGCUGAGGAUUUCUAACCACACGACAUAUGUUUCUCGUAAACCUUGAUGUCUACUAUUCCCACGGAUCCUCCACUGCAUGAACAGGUCCGCGCCACCCGAGAGUACACCACCCCUUUUAGGCGAUCCGUUGCCAGGAGGGUACGUGCCACUCUCGCCAUCUCUCCACGCCCAGUGCGCGAUUGUCUUUUCAUGUAUGGAAUAACCGGGUUCAAGCUUACCCUGUCCCAUUCUCAGGGCAUGUGGCUAGAUAAGAUAGUCCUUGAUCAACAGGCCUACAUACGCAUCCAAUCCUUAAUUGACCCGGGCGGAGCAUCACCUGUUCCUAGCCCAAGUCUCGAUUUAAGUACUUCCAUCCUUAGGAUUGUUUCUGUUCCUUAGGAUGAAAAGAGCAUCACAGGGAACUUUGCAGUAAGAUCCCACCAUUGCUCCAAAUGAAAAUAUUCUUGCAGGUAGAAGUCAUCCUCUCCCGGGUUAAAUUGAGGACAACCUCUAUCCACAAGAUCUAAGCAAGGUUAAGCAUUUUUGUAAAUCAUAUUUUGAUACUUCACAGAAGUAUCUAUAAAGGUAUGGAUAUCAAGGAAAGCAAUGCAUCAAAGGGUUCCAAGCAACUCCUAUGAACCUAAUGCACAUUUCACUAGACUUAAAGUGUGCGAAAAGUAUUUAAAACACAAGGAAAGGGGUUGCAUGCACCGGGGCUUGCCUGGGAUAAACACUACGUUAGUGUUUGUUAGACGUCGAUCACUUGACGGUCAUCCUUGUCCUAGCACUUGAUCAGGCAGGUUCGUCGAUCAGCACCAUCAUGCGAAGUAGCCCGCGCUUGGGGUCGACUUGGCUUGUCUUUCGCAUCACGUGGUUAAUUCACGUACCUGAAUGGAAUGCAUUAUGCACAUGAAUGCAUAUAGACCGAAAUAUUUCAAACCUAAAUAGUAUUACGCGAUAGCGAAUUAAACACCUAGCAGCGAGGCGUUGUACAAUUUUGUACGGAAACACUAGUUAUUAAUAUACGACUACGCGCAAUAAUUACGUUUCUCGAACCUAACGCAAACAUCACGAACAACAAACUAUACACAAGAAAUACAAUUAGCCUAAUCACAACUUAUCAGUUAAUUAAUUAAAUUCUAAACUUAUCUCUUGCUUUAUAAAUUAUACUACAUCGCUCCCACAGAACUAUUUUAAUUUUAUUUUACUCCUCACAUGUUUUUCAUGUCAACAAUUACUCAAACAUUUCUUUAUCGUAAGUAUAUAUAUAUAUACAUCUAUAGAAGUGAUUAAAAUAUUUUAUCAUCACACAGGCCUACUCAUAUUCUACUCGGUACACUAAUUCCGCUAAUUGAUCGAAAUAGCGAAAUAACUCGCUAUAACUGAACCUGACUCGAUAAUCGCAAGAACUGCGAAGUCAACGAGAGUUUCAUGACUUACACAAUUUAUCGAACACCUUAAUGAGCAUCCAUUACUGCGAUUCACACGUAUAAUCAUAGACACAAUUAUAACACAUUAAGAAAUCCACAAUUACCUCGGUUAUGCCUUGGUGUGGAGGUAAACAAGACAUCGUGGCACACGGAAUAAGCUCAGGGCGACAUCAGAAACACUGGACUCUUGUUGCAAAGUCGAGGUGAUAUUUGAGACGAAGUCGAUGUUGGCGGUGUUUACAGAGAUGUGUGCAAAGGGGAGGUGAGCUCACGGCGUUGAGAAUAGACAGCUGAGCAGAGCUUAACGAUCGACGACACGUCAUUUCCAUGAACAUGAGGGUGAGGCGAACGGCUUCGGUAACGCACACAAACUAGGUGCGAUGAAUAGGAAGGAGCGCUACAUCAGCUUGAAAAGAGAGGCAAGCUGAGAUUAGGGGACAGCGGCAGACUUCACCGGCGAUGCUUUAUAGGUAUAGUUCGGCACUCGUAACAGGGCUUUGGCAGACUCGACGAAUGCGAACUAGACGACGGCAGCGCGCGACACAGAGAGCUGGGGCGAGCAGAAAUCCGGGCGCCAUGGGAUGAACUUGACCAAAGCACGAGGAUGUGCUGCCAUGGGAGCUGGAAGCGCGCGGAGCUGGGUCCGAGCACCAGGGAGCUGCUCGCGGCAGAAAGAAACAGAGGGACGGCGCUAGGGAGGAGAGAAGAACGCAGUGCUGGGAGCUCGACCAGGGAAAAGCAGAGCUGGACGCCAGGGAGACGCGGCCAUGGAUGAGCAGAGCAGGGGCUAGGAUGCCAUGGGAGGGGAAGGAAGGAGCUUCGAGCAGAGGCCAGUGCUAGGGGCGCGACGUCCAGGCACCUGAGCGCGCGGCUGGAGCAGAGGACGCCGGCUAUGGAAAGCAGAGCGCGAGCAGGAACGGCGCGCUGGGAGGGAUCGAGGGGAAACCGCCAUGGAAAGGAGGCCGAGCGAGCUGGGGCAAGCCAGGCGCGCGCGCGAGAAGCAAGGCGCCGCGACACGGGAACAGGGCGUGUGGCGCGUCUUCCAUCGCCGAACAGCGCGGCCGAGCAGAGGCAAGCUGGAGCGGG
rnacentral:lncRNA from 1 species